rnacentral:rRNA from 2 species
AAAUUGAAGAGUUUGAUCAUGGCUCAGAUUGAACGCUGGCGGCAGGCCUAACACAUGCAAGUCGAACGGUAACAGGAAGCAGCUUGCUGCUUUGCUGACGAGUGGCGGACGGGUGAGUAAUGUCUGGGAAACUGCCUGAUGGAGGGGGAUAACUACUGGAAACGGUGGCUAAUACCGCAUAACGUCGCAAGACCAAAGAGGGGGACCUUCGGGCCUCUUGCCAUCAGAUGUGCCCAGAUGGGAUUAGCUUGUUGGUGAGGUAACGGCUCACCAAGGCGACGAUCCCUAGCUGGUCUGAGAGGAUGACCAGCCACACUGGAACUGAGACACGGUCCAGACUCCUACGGGAGGCAGCAGUGGGGAAUAUUGCACAAUGGGCGCAAGCCUGAUGCAGCCAUGCCGCGUGUAUGAAGAAGGCCUUAGGGUUGUAAAGUACUUUCAGCGGGGAGGAAGGUGUUGUGGUUAAUAACC